GGGGCGGGCGGAGGCAGGUGGGCAGAGGUUAGAACCCGCUGAUGUCCCUGCCUGCCACAGUCAGAUGCUCCAUCUGCUCUGGGAGCCCAGGAGUCUCCGAGGGAACCGAGGCUGGCUGGGUCUCGAGGGGGGGGCCCUCUCGCUUCACUUCCACCCAGCCUCAGUCCCCUCGAUGACUGCGGGGACCUGCUUCCAAUCAAUGGUCCUUUCUUCACUCGUUCUAUCGAGCAGUCAUUCAACAAACACAGGUGGCGCUGCUUCCGGCGGGCUGCGCAUCAGGUGGCACAUUCUUCCCUGUGAGUCUAGACCUCCCUGUGCAGCUUGAGCAAGUCCUGUGACCUCUCAGAGCCUGUUACUUCAUCUGUAUGGCGGGGGGCAUAACUGCCCCUGCCUGUGGGCUGUGGGGCCUUAGAGGACGUGGAGAAAGACCGUUACGCGAUACCCGUGCUGAACAGAUGCUCCAGAUAUGCGGUCGCCGGGGUGCAUGACUGCCAGUUCUGACCGCUGAUGAUGGGGCGGCCCACGUGGAGGAGCCACCCCGUGCAGUGGGGAGGACCCAGGAAGACGGAGCUUUGCAAAGGAACCCCGGGUGAUACGAGCCUGGACACCCUGACUCCAGGGCAGCUGUGUUUGUGCUCAGGACAGACAGGCCCCCCCCAGACAGGAGCCCUUUCCCAGGCUGCCUGGCCCACGGGCCUCGUGUGUCUAGUCUUCUGGGGUUUGCAUCUGCAGAAACCCAGGAAGCCUCCGUCCCCUGGCGGGGCUCCACUUCUCCUUUCAGGCGGACAAAAGGCCCUUCUGGAGACACAGGCAGAGACCUAGCAGAGGAGGGAGGAGGUGCCCUCCCGGCCGAGGACCCCUGGGGGCAGAUUGCUGGCUCACUGGCUUCCGGGUCUUAUGGACCAGAAAAUACUUGAAUCUUCCUGAAAACCCACUGAGGCCUUUUGGGAAAACUUUGGACACAGUCCAUGUGGCUGGGACUUUGGAAAACAGAACCUUUCUGCUUUCCCAUCUCUCCGUCCACCCAGUCACUCACCCAUCUGUCAUCCAUCCGCCGUCUCUUCUUUCCGUCUCUUUCUUCCUUCCAUCCAUCCAUCAGCCGUCCACCCACCCACCCAUCCGUCCGUCCAUCACUCACCAGCCGUUCACUGAUCUGUCCAUCUGCCCCUCUACUCACACAUCCAUCCACUCAGCCACCCAUCCGUCCAUGCAGCUACCCAUUUAUAAUUCCUGUACAUUGUCCAAAGAUGGGUCUCGGCCGCCUCACCCACGGCCAUGUCACAUCGCCCAGGAGGGAUCCCUUCGCUCUUCUGUCGCCAUCAUGAUGGUCCCCCUGCCUGGGGAGUCUUAGCUGGAGACCCCUGUCACUAACUUGAGAAAUGAGGCUUCAGAACAGUUCCCCGGGGGGGCAUAGUCUCGGACGCCUGUAAUGUUUCUAGACUACAGCUUUCCAGGAGACCCCCUGGGAGCAGCCAGGCAUCUGAAGUCACUGUAGGUGGAGGGGCUGGAGGACUGAGCUGGGAAUCAGACUUGACUUUUCAUCUUGCCUGUGGUGCUGUGUGACUUGGGGUCGAUGACUUAACCUCUCUGGGCUGUUGAGAUCAGAUCUGGGGACCUUCGGAAGAAGGAGUGCCUUCUGUCUUUUGGAACGAUGGGGGCGUGAGACGUGGGUGAGGAUGGAUCAGUAAUGGCCCCCAGGCUUGAAGACCGUGUACCUGUCAAGAACAGAAAACAUAAAAAUGACUCUGCGUGUGUGGCUCCUUGGACCUGACUCUAGAUGGUUUCAGGGCGAACCAGUUUCCAAGGAAAGGUGCUUCCUUUCUCUCUCUUCCUCCUAGGCGUGUGUCCCAUCUCCUCUUUCUUCACUGUCAACUCUCAGAGGGUAGGCCGGACCCGACGGCCCAGAAGGUUCCUUGUAGCAGGUCCCUGUCUUCUGGGUCCUGGGGGGCUGCACUUGGAUUUGCCAGCACAAGGUCUGGGCUGCCCACUCCCACCUGGGCCCCCUGCCCUGCCUCUGGUGCCCUGGCCACUGUAAAUCAUUACUGCCGGCCUGGGCCGCCCCUGGAGCCAGGUCACCGUGGGGAGGGGGUGAGUGGUCUCUGAGCCUUGGUCCCCCCCACCAGCAGGCUCCGGCUUGGAGCACCCCUGCCUCCAGGAGUCUGGCUUUCUGUGUCCUACCUCCUUCAAACGAGCGAGGCAGGUUAAAAUCCAACUUGGAUCUUUCCGGAAGUGCCAAGUUCAGGUACAGCACGUGUAAGGAAGCAGCAGCUAGCCCAGCAGGAACACCUCAUGCCCUCACCUGGACUUGCUCAGCCUUCUGGGAGAAUCCUGGCUUGGGCUGGGCGCGGGGCGGGGGUGGGGGAUGCUUCCCGGGCAGCUCUGGGCUGGGGCUGCUCCCCAUCAGCUGAGCGCUGGGGAGGGGUGGCGUGGCUGGUCUGAAGGAGCUUGGAGAUCCCUUCCCCCCAAAGCGCUGCCCCCCUCGUCUGCCUGAGCUGUGCCCAGAGCGGGACCUGCAGGCCACAAUCAAAGCUGCGGGGACGCUCCGGGUAACUGGCGGUGGGAGGCAGUGUCUGUGCGCCCCUCCCCACUGCCUUCUUCCUCCCACUCCCCUAAUUAUUUUUCUUGGAUGUUGUGAAUUAAAUCUUCCCGUAACCACAGGAGACGUCUCUGGGUAAGGCCCCGCUCACAUCUCCAUGCGCCGAUAGAAGUUGUUAAAUGAAUAAUGUUGACUUACGCUGGGGACCCAGUUCUCUCUGAAUAUAAUUCCCCUUCGAGUUCCGGGGAGCUUCCUGCAGAAACCGUGAAAAUAAUAAACACGUCUCCAUAUCAGAGGUUGGUAAUGCCGCUUCGAAUCCUUUUGGGGGAGAGAGGCGGGGAAGAGAUAAAUUAAAAUUAAUUUUUAAAAGAGGAUCACGCCACAAGUCAGAUGACAGAGCAAGCUGGGAUAAUGGGGCGGUUCUCGCAGGGGGAGCCCCGGGGCACCCCCUCGGGGCCAGGCGAGGGAGGUUACCCGUUGAAAAUGUCGAUUCCUGGGUUCCACCCGCAUCCACCCCCAAAUUAGCGUGAGUGUCAUGGACGUGGAGGUAUGACACCUGCCCGUCAGGUCGCGGAGAGUCCAGUUUGGAGAUCGUGGGUUACGAGAGCAGUGGGGUUUGUCUGGAGAACGGGCUUCCCGUCCCGGUGCUGCCCUGGCCAGCUGUGACCCCAUGUUCUUGCCCAGCCCUGCGCCACCGGCCAGUCACCUGGGAGGCAGGUGAGCUGGCCGCCCCGGCCGGCCCCUGGGCAGGGCUCUGAGAUGCCCUUCUCUGUAACAGAGGGUGGCCCGGUGGCUGUCGUCCUCCCCCCCUGUGACAGAGGUCUGGCUGCAGGGGGCAGGCUCCCCCCUGGGGAGUAUUCGAGGCCAUGACCUGACCGCGCGCCCCAGGCUCCCCGCGCCACCUCCAGGGCCUCCAGGUGUUGUGCAAGCGUUUCCUCCCACAGCUCGAAGGCUGGAGAGAGAGACCUGGGGUCACCUCGAAACUACGCGGCUUCCAGCAGGGCCUGCUUCUGCCGCGCCACCUCCGGUUAUUAAUGGAGCUGGCGGAUGGGGUCAGGCAGCGUGGGGACUUUCCCAAGGUCACCAAGCAAUUUGCCGGCUGAGCCAGGAAUAGAAGGCCUGAGCCGGGCGGCGCUGACGCUGGCUUUGGAUUGCUGGCCAGGCAGGUCUGCACGGGGCGCUGGGCGCUGGCGGGGAGGACAGGGAGCUGCCGGCAUCCUAGAUGUGGGCCAGGGGGAGGGGCCGGGAGCGUGGUCCCGUGUCCCUGCCACUCCUGGGAGAGGAGACCAUUUGGAACGCUGGGCCAGAGGUUGCUGUUGCGUGGGGGGUGGGGGGUUGCAGCUGAGCAGGUUCUGGUGGCCCGCCCUGGUGGCCUGCCUCUCUGUCGACAUCAUCUAAGGUCAUCUGGAAACAUUCAGAGCAGCAACAACAGAAAAAGCCACCAUCCCCAGCACAACCCCCCCGCAUUUGUUUCCCUCGUGCCUCUUUGCACUUGGGGAGGCGCGGUGGCGUGGCGUCUGUGCGGGCUGGUGGGGAAAACCCAGCCUCAUCCACGCUGGAGAGGCGCUCAGCCUUCUAGAAAGAGAGGAUACACACACAUCCUGAAGGUUCCUGCAUCCUGUUCCGGGCUGAGUUUGUUUUGGGGGCAAGAGGGAUGCACACAGCAUUUGUGGCUGAUGAGUGCUUGUGUCCUCGAAGGGGCUUUUUGCAUUCAUUUCGGUGGAUUCAGCCAAUGUUUAUUCAAGGGCUUGGGAAGGUCUGGGCAAGCGCAGGGCAGAAAGUAAAGAAUUUGAAAGUAACCCCCGUGGGCGGGGAAGGUCACCGUCCCCUCGAGGUUAGAGCCACAUCCGGGAGGGCUGCCUGGAGGAGGUGGAAGUCAAGCCCGGGCUGGAGGGAGGAGGUGAGCCGCAGACAAAGGAGCUCCCGCGAGGGGGCCCCCGGCAGCAGGUACAGCCUGCAGGAAGAGAAGGAGGGAGCAAGAAGGAGGGAGUGUUGCAGGCAACACAGCAGAGGUGUAGUGGGGGCCCUGUGCGUGAAGACACUUCUAGAAAGGCCUGUGUGGGGGAGGGCGGGGACCGGGGUGGUGGCUGGCACCUGGAUUUGCAAGUCGCGACCUGAGAGGUAGGAGCUGAGGUCAGAGCGCAGGGAGGUGGCAGCAGGCAGCCCAGGAUGGGACCCUGGAGGAGGAGGGGUCUUGCCCUCGGCACCUGCCAGGAGGGCUCGGGGCCUUUGUCCCUUUACUCUGUCCCAACAGGAACACCCGCACAUGUGCUCGCUGGCCCACGGGCCUGUGCGGAUGCGGGUUUUUCAGAGCUGGUUGCUACGUAAGGAACUUCAAAGGCUUUUAUGUGCCAGGAAGAUUGGGGAAUGGGGUCCCCCCCGAAGAAGUUGCUCAGGAUGCCGUCUAAGUGGUGUGGGUGUUCACGGCGACCCCGCAGGCCCGGCCGGCCUGGGUCCCAGAACUCGCCUUCUCGGGCUGCUCUGUAGGGUCCCGUGGCCUUGCCCUGAGCUCUGACCCACGCAGGUGCGCCUGGGACCUCCGGUGACUUUCUGUCCCAGGGCCUGCUGUCCCGGUGGUCUACCCAGCCUGUGCCCACACGGCUACCUGGGUUGGGGUCCAGGCACCCCCUCCUGUGAGCUGACAGGCCAGGGGGAAAGGAAAGCGCCUCACCUGCUGGAUGACAGCUGGUUAGUUUUUACAAAGAAGGGUUGUCCUGAGAAGCUGCUGAGGGAACCACCCAGAUUUCUCUGUCCGGGCGUUGGGCUGGGAAGGCGGAAGUGUGCCUGCUGCCGGGUGGGUAUGGCAGGGGGUGGGCGCCCGGGCACUCUGGCCCUGGCCCCCAGGGACCAUGUUGGCCUCAGGUCAGAGGUCCAGGACCGGGGGCUCCCUUGCCACUGAUGACCUCAGGUAGGCCUGGCUCCCCCCUGCCAGCCCCCCAUGCCACUCCCUCCCUGUCCCCCGAGGCCUGCCCAGGUCACAGCUGGCUGCUCUCCAGGCCAGCGGUCAGGUGGCGGGAGCCAGAGACAGGUGUGUGCCGGUUGGCGUCCUGACCUCCAGCNNNNNNNNNNNNNNNNNNNNNNNNNNNNNNNNNNNNNNNNNNNNNNNNNNNNNNNNNNNNNNNNNNNNNNNNNNNNNNGUGUGGUGCUGCGUGUCUUCAGCGUGUGUGUCUGGGGCGGGGGCCGAGCACGGAAAAACACCCCGAAAGCAGAAAAGGCUUGAACCUGACAGGUUUUCCCCGCGGCCAGGCGUCUAGAGCAGCGGGAAGUGGAGUUUCCAGGGGCCGCCUGUCCUCGGGGCAGCUUCGUGGGGGUGUUCCGGGCGCCGUGGGCCCUGUCCGGCCUCUCCCACCAUCGGCGGGGGGACUCUGGCUUGGGAUUUCUUUUUUCUUUUUUAAUCGAGGUAAGGAGUUCCUGGUGGCGUAGCGCUUAGGAUUCAGCAGCGUCACUAUUCUGAUGCCCAUUCGCUUCCUGGCCUGGGAACAAAACAAAACAAAACAAAACAAAAAGGUGAAACUUGUGAAUAAAACCUGAACCUCAGUGUAUAAUUUCCAAAUGUUAUCUUGGAGUUCCUGUUGUGGCUCAGUGGGUUAGGAACCCAACAUAGCGUCUGUGAGGAUGCAGGUUCGAUCCCUGGCCUCGCUCAGUGGGUGAAGGACCCGGCGUUGCCAUGAGCUGUGGUGUAGGUUGCAGACGCGGCUCGGAUCCCGAGUUGCUGUGGCUCUGGCUGUGGCUGGGGCUGUGGCCAGCAGCUACAGCUCGGAUUCGACCUCUAGCCUGGGAACUUCCAUACAUUGUGGGGGUGGCCCGGAAAAAAAAAAAAAAAA
ensembl:lncRNA